rnacentral:rRNA from 1 species
GAUGAACGCUGGCGGCGUGCCUAAUACAUGCAAGUCGAGCGAACGGACGAGAAGCUUGCUUCUCUGAUGUUAGCGGCGGACGGGUGAGUAACACGUGGAUAACCUACCUAUAAGACUGGGAUAACUUCGGGAAACCGGAGCUAAUACCGGAUAAUAUUUUGAACCGCAUGGUUCAAAAGUGAAAGUCGGUCUUGCUGGCACUUAUAGAUGGAUCCGCGCUGCAUUAGCUAGUUGGUAAGGUAACGGCUUACCAAGGCAACGAUGCAUAGCCGACCUGAGAGGGUGAUCGGCCACACUGGAGCUGAGACACGGUCCAGACUACUACGGGAGGCAGCAGUAGGGAAUCUUCCGCAAUGGGCGAAAGCCUGACGGAGCAACGCCGCGUGAGUGAUGAAGGUCUUCGGAUCGUAAAACUCUGUUAUGAGGGAAGAACAUAUGUGUGAGUAACUGUGCACAGCGUGACGGUACCUAAUCAGAAAGCCACGGCUAACUACGUG